rnacentral:tRNA from 2 species
GCGAGGGUAACCAAGUGGUCAACGGUGAUCGACUCAAGAUCGAUUCGCGCAGGCGUUCGCGGGUUCAAAUCCCUCCCCUCGCA